CGAAAUAUCUUUCCCCUUCAAAUGUUUUAAAUGUGUCUUAACGUUUUAAUAUUUUUUUUGCUUUCAUGGCCUCACACAAAUAAUUCAAGUAAAAACAAUGAAUUGGUGGUGUUUACUAUUUCGUAUGGGUGAAAGGUAUUGUUCAAACAGUUCAUUGAUAUUUUGACUUAAAAGGGGUAAAUUUUAUUUGACCAAUGUGCUGAAUAAUUGUGCCUUUCAUACGUAAUGUUUUCGUAGGCCUUUGAUGGCAACCGAGUGCACGCCCAGGUGAUGAUGGAAUUGCAUGUCACUGCAAGCGCUGAAUAGUGUCGUUGUUAAUAAUUGACUGCUACGACUAUGUUGGUGUGUAACGCAACCCAUUUUUUCUCGCCCAAUCGCAACCGCUUUCAGCAGAUUUUGUAUCACGCCAUGCUCGAAUAGCAGAAUAGGAGACGACAGUUUCACGAAAGUAUCAAACUAUCCAAAACUAACAGCAGCAUUUCCUUCAUCGCAUUUUCAUUCAGAAUUAUUCUGUAACAUUAAAGCACAUCACUCAUGAACAACAAUAAAAAUUCAACAAAAAUAUGAAUGUCACGCCAACUGAUUUGUAUUUGGAUAGAUGGCGCCACAAGGCGACAAUUGGUAAACAGCCGGUAGUCGCUACAGACGAAAUCUGUACUAUGACAGAAGUAAAAGUCAGAGUCAUAGCUCAUAUAGGUCAUACCUCUGAGGUUUUUUCUUUUGCUACAAUGAAAUUUGCCGCUUUUCAUUCCAACUCAAAGCUUCGCCUUUCUCCCGGUUACUUACGGAACGCCGUUUGACCCACUUUUUAAUUGACAACUCUUUUUCGAUAGUUGUCCGUUUAUUUAGCAAAUAAAUAGAUAAUUUGUACUGCCAUCUAGCGGUCAAAAAAAUCACUUGAAUGAGUGAUUUCAAUAGACGACGCCUUCAAGGGAGGAGGAGUCAACGACAGAUUGUUUUGUAUUCGUCGAUCGAUUAUUAUGCCGUUGCAACCAGCAGUCCAGCACCUCCAGCAGUUUCACCAACUAUUUUGUUUGAGGGUAGCACAUAGCAGCAAAAAUGGAGGUCUUCAGAUAUGGAAAUUUUUCUGCUGCUUCAUGCAACACUAUAUUUACAUUGUUGCUUAAAAUCUUUCAAAAUCUUGUAAGUAGCUUGGGGGAAACCUGAUCUGGUAGACAUCGCACCACGCUUUGGAAUAUUGGAAAUAAUUUAAUUGAGAGCAUCGCGUUAAUUUUGGUUUGACUACCAGGCAUUUGGGAUGCUUUUAAUGUGGUGUGUUGGCAAGGACAUCUACAUUCUGUGGUAGUGAGUGAUGCCACAAGAAGCCUGUCUUUUUUCACGAAGAAGUUGAGCUUUAAAUAUCGGCAAGACUCCUUUGAUGAAUAAUAAGGGUUAAGGGGUUAUGGGGUUUCCCUUCUAUGUAGGGAAAAACCAAUUAAUUAUCGGCGCUUUGUAAGAUACGGCAAUGAUGCACGGUCUUCCGGUCCAUCAGCUGAGAGUCAAACCACAUUGGAUUUAGGAGCUAUUUUCAUCAUCCAGGAAUUAUUAUCACCUUGCUCUUAGACAGGAACCUGAAGCCUGAACAGUAUUAAGGCUGGAAUGUUAAGUACUCAUCCGUGGGUGGAAAUCUAAUUGACAAAUGUUCAAAUUGGCCAAAUAUCUUGAGACAGAAAAAACAUAGCAUAAGUUUUGCAAAAAGGAAAAAGGAGCUUCUGGCAAGACUGUUCGACAAAAAAGUCUGGAUUAGUUAAAACAAAAGUUUAGGGUGAAACUAAAUGUAACUUUCACUUCAGAAAGUUAAAACCUGAAAUACCCCUAAAUUAUUUUAUUGUUUUCUUUAAGUAAAUUGAAACAUAAAUUGAUAACUCUUUUUGUUUUUGCCACCAAUUAAUCUUGUUCUUUAGGGUACCCUAUGUUGAACUGUGUUGCUGAUGAAACAUCCCCUUAAAGACUUCCUUAAAGAUGAAGUAAGAGCCUUAGGUCGCUAGCUCGAUCUGCUCGCAGAAUUACUAGAACGUCAUAUUCGUGCAUUGUAAAAAAAAAAGGCGUUCAUUCCCUUCAACCAAUUGUUAACCCGCGAGGUCUCGUAGGAAUCUCCCUUACGCCACUUUAAUUGUAGCUGACAGUGACUGUAAUUAUGGCCCAAUUAACCCAUGGUUAUCAAGAGCUGCCCUCUUGGUUCUCCGACAUAGAAACUUCCAUCGUCAAAAGCUUCCAGGUUUGUUAUGGUCGUAGAACAGCAGACGACGGAGGUGAGGAAGUAACGAAACAAAUAAGAAAUUCAUAUAUUUCGUUUGAAGUACGUACUACUCGAUUUGAACAGUUGGCGGCGGAAUUUUACCAUCGGGCAGAACCCAAUCGGUCGAAGCAUUGAAAAUGUCGGACCACUGUUGAUGAAUUUUCACCAGCACUCUUCCACAAGACGGACGCGAAGCAAACGAUGGCGAAAGAGAUAUGGACUUGAAUUGGUUGUUUACAACCCAUGGCUAUUCCUCACUCCAGGAUUAGUAUUAUACACCUUUUGCACUUUUCAGAGCGUUCGGAAACGAAAUUUGUUGCUAAUGGGUUUGCUGUUGACAAGCAAGGGAAGGAUUUGAAUUUUUACUGAACUAGACAGGAAUGAAAUUUUUUGUGGCUGGUUUUGUUGUUGACAAGCAAGGAAAGGAUUUUUUUACCACAGUAGACAGGAUAUUUAUUCUAAAUCCCACAAUGUGCUGACUACAAAUCGUAAUGAAUUAGAAUAGGAUUUUGACUGAGGCUGGGUGCUAAAACAAUUAAUUGGAAGCGCGAUUGGAAAUAUCCAUGAUUUAUUAACGUUAUCCCAUGUUACGGUAUUUUAUUAAAGACAAAUUGAAGUGCA